UAGAGUUUAUUCCUGGCUCAGGAUGAACGCGGGCGGCGUGCUUAACACAUGCAAGUCGAACGGAGUUUACCACCAUGAUUUCUUCGGAAUGAUAAUGGUAAACUUAGUGGCGGACGGGUGAGUAACGCGUGGGUAACCUGCCUCACACUGGGGGACAACAGUUGGAAACGACUGCUAAUACCGCAUAAGCGCACAGCUUCGCAUGAAGCAGUGUGAAAAACUCCGGUGGUGUGAGAUGGACCCGCGUCUGAUUAGAUAGUUGGUGAGGUAACGGCCCACCAAGUCAACGAUCAGUAGCCGGCCUGAGAGGGUGAACGGCCACAUUGGGACUGAGACACGGCCCAAACUCCUACGGGAGGCAGCAGUGGGGAAUAUUGGACAAUGGGGGAAACCCUGAUCCAGCGACGCCGCGUGAGUGAAGAAGUAUUUCGGUAUGUAAAGCUCUAUCAGCAAGGAAGAAAAUGACGGUACUUGACUAAGAAGCCCCGGCUAACUACGUGCCAGCAGCCGCGGUAAUACGUAGGGGGCAAGCGUUAUCCGGAUUUACUGGGUGUAAAGGGAGCGUAGACGGCAAAGCAAGUCUGAAGUGAAAGCCCCGGGCUCAACCCGGGAACUGCUUUGGAAACUGUUUAGCUAGAGUGCAGGAGAGGUAAGUGGAAUUCCUAGUGUAGCGGUGAAAUGCGUAGAUAUUAGGAGGAACACCAGUGGCGAAGGCGGCUUACUGGACUGUAACUGACGUUGAGGCUCGAAAGCGUGGGGAGCAAACAGGAUUAGAUACCCUGGUAGUCCACGCCGUAAACGAUGAUUACUAGGUGUUGGGAGGCAAAGCCUUUCGGUGCCGCAGCAAACGCAAUAA
rnacentral:rRNA from 1 species